rnacentral:tRNA from 1 species
UUGGCCUUGGCGACGGUGACGUCGCGCGUUCCGGUCGCGUCGGUGAUGCGCAGCACGCGGCUGACGCCCGGGUCGUUGGGGCCGAG